rnacentral:misc_RNA from 1 species
UUUCCGUAGGUGAACCUGCGGAAGGAUCAUUAAAAGUAAAUAUGUAUUCUCUCGAAUAUACAUUUCAAACCCAUCUGCGUACAUUACCCGUUGCUUCCGCGAGGCAGUGAUCCCGGUCACCUCCCGAGGAUGGUGAGAGCCAUCCGACGGGGAGCACUCGCGAAAGGUAAACACCAAAACCUUGCACUUCCAUGUCUUCUGUCUGAAACUGUUUACAACAAAUGUUAAAACUUUCAACAACGGAUCUCUUGGUUCUC